rnacentral:rRNA from 1 species
GAGUUUGAUCGUGGCUCAGAUUGAACGCUGGCGGCAGGCCUAACACAUGCAAGUCGAGCGGAUGAAGGGAGCUUGCUCCUGGAUUCAGCGGUGGACGGGUGAGUAAUGCCCAGGAAUCUGCCUGGUAGUGGGGGAUAACGUCCGGAAACGGGCGCUAAUACCGCAUACGUCCUGAGGGAGAAAGUGGGGGAUCUUCGGACCUCACGCUAUCAGAUGAGCCUAGGUCGGAUUAGCUAGUUGGUGGGGUAAAGGCCUACCAAGGCGACGAUCCGUAACUGGUCUGAGAGGAUGAUCAGUCACACUGGAACUGAGACACGGUCCAGACUCCUACGGGAGGCAGCAGUGGGGAAUAUUGGACAAUGGGCGAAAGCCUGAUCCAGCCAUGCCGCGUGUGUGAGAAGGUCUUCGGAUUGUAAAGCACUUUAAGUUGGGAGGAAGGGCAGUAAGUUAAUACCUUGCUGUUUUGACGUUACCAACAGAAUAAGCACCGGCUAACUUCGUGACAGCCGCCGCCGUAAUACC